UUUGUUGUAUAAUUUUAAAAAGGUCAUAUGAGGAGGUUGUUUUCAUAUUUAAUUUUUCAUUCACCUCCAGGGAUAGGAUUGGCAUAGAAGAUGCAGCUCUCUUUACACUUUAAAUGUAUGUUGCCACCCUAGAAGUCAAAGUCUUUUUACAUGUGACAUUAACAUAUUUAUUUUUUCUAUUUUGUUGUUCUGUUAUUCUAUUGUUUUACUUUUUUGUUUCAGAUCAAAUGUAUAUCAAGUGUUAUCCAUCCUCAUAACACCUCCACAAAUAGAGACUGAAACUUCUGAGCACCAUCCCCUUGUCUGCUAUGGGACUGUCAUAGCCCAGCAAUCAGAAACAUCAGAACAACAAAGCACAACUGUGGUGGCCCAGGCACCUUCAGCAACAAGUAAAUUGCUUUAACAUUAAUGAUAAUUAAAUGUCAGUAUUGUAAUUAAACUUGACCCAUCUGACGUAAUUGUUCAUGCCAGAGAUUUAACAACACUGUCAGUCAGGAGCAUAUUUAACAGGAGCCACACUCAACUGGCUUGAUGGUGACUUCAGUGCAGUGAAGAUAUUUAAAGAGACACUAUCUAAAGUACAGAAAGCCGUACAUAAUCUCUAGGUGCAGUCGCCUACAGUGCAGCCAGCUUCACAAAGACUGUGGGGCUGGUCACCAGGAAAAUGGCCAACAAGGAGUGCUUUUGGGGUUUUACUCCUCAGAUGACCACCCUGGCUACUGUAGCUGGGAUUGCUUCACAGACAAUGGAGGUCUUGAAGAGUAAAGUGUGCGUGCAUGUGAACACAUUGUGUUAUUACAGUAACAAUUAUGGUCACUUGCAGUUCAUGUGUUUUCAAUGUAGUGUAAGAUGUGUUAAUUAUUAUUAUUACUCAAAAACCAUUAAAACUUCUAAAUUGUGGAAGUUAUUCUUCA